rnacentral:lncRNA from 1 species
UCAUCAGAGGACCAUGGCCCCGUAUCACCUGGGUCAGGCACUGAAGCUGGGACAGGAGAGCAGAGACUUCCAAAAUGAGGGAUCCCUGUGUUCUGAGGUGAUCAUGACUGGGACCCAAGGACUCAAGCGCAUGCUCCAGAGGGAAUCGUUUCCCACAAGGCCUUUGGCAGGAACAGGGAUCCUGGGAGCCUGCCAAGCAGAGCGCACAGUGUUCCUGGAGUCUCGCUGCCCAGAUGCCACGGAAUCAGUUGAACAGUUAGAAAAAGCCCGGGCUAGGACCGAGGAGCAGGGUGAGGGAGGGGGUGGGAUGGGUGGGGGGUAACGGGGGAAACUGGGGAAGUGGGGAACCGAGGGGCAACCAGGGGAAGAUGGGGUGCUGGAGGAGAGCUUGUGGGAGCCAAGGAGCACCUUGGACAUCUGGAGUCUGGCAGGAGUGAUGACGGGUGGAGGGGCUAGCUCGAGGCAGGGCUGGUGGGGCCUGAGGCCAGUGAGGAGUGUGGAGUAGGCGCCCAGGCAUCGUGCAGACAGGGCGACAUCAGCUGGGGACGAUGGGCCUGAGCUAGGGCUGGAAAGAAGGGGGAGCCAGGCAUUCAUCCCGGUCACUUUUGGUUACAGGACGUGGCAGCUGGUUGGACGAGGGGAGCUGGUGGGCAGGGUUUGAUCCCAGGGCCUGGGCAACGGAGGUGUAGCUGGCAGCAGCGGGCAGGUGAGGACCCCAUCUGCCGGGCAGGUGAGUCCCUUCCCUCCCCAGGCCUCGCUUCCCCAGCCUUCUGAAAGAAGGAGGUUUAGGGGAUCGAGGGCUGGCGGGGAGAAGCAGACACCCUCCCAGCAGAGGGGCAGGAUGGGGGCAGGAGAGUUAGCAAAGGUGACAUCUUCUCGGGGGGAGCCGAGACUGCGCAAGGCUGGGGGGUUAUGGGCCCGUUCCAGGCAGAAAGAGCAAGAGGGCAGGGAGGGAGCACAGGGGUGGCCAGCGUAGGGUCCAGCACGUGGGGUGGUACCCCAGGCCUGGGUCAGACAGGGACAUGGCAGGGGACACAGGACAGAGGGGUCCCCAGCUGCCACCUCACCCACCGCAAUUCAUUUAGUAGCAGGCACAGGGGCAGCUCCGGCACGGCUUUCUCAGGCCUAUGCCGGAGCCUCGAGGGCUGGAGAGCGGGAAGACAGGCAGUGCUCGGGGAGUUGCAGCAGGACGUCACCAGGAGGGCGAAGCGGCCACGGGAGGGGGGCCCCGGGACAUUGCGCAGCAAGGAGGCUGCAGGGGCUCGGCCUGCGGGCGCCGGUCCCACGAGGCACUGCGGCCCAGGGUCUGGUGCGGAGAGGGCCCACAGUGGACUUGGUGACGCUGUAUGCCCUCACCGCUCAGCCCCUGGGGCUGGCUUGGCAGACAGUACAGCAUCCAGGGGAGUCAAGGGCAUGGGGCGAGACCAGACUAGGCGAGGCGGGCGGGGCGGAGUGAAUGAGCUCUCAGGAGGGAGGAUGGUGCAGGCAGGGGUGAGGAGCGCAGCGGGCGGCGAGCGGGAGGCACUGGCCUCCAGAGCCCGUGGCCAAGGCGGGCCUCGCGGGCGGCGACGGAGCCGGGAUCGGUGCCUCAGCGUUCGGGCUGGAGACGAGGGUGCACAACCAACACGUUCUCCCCACACGACUCUCUCGUUCUCCCCACAGCCAGGUCUCCAGCUGGGGUGGACGUGCCCACCAGCUGCCGAAGGCCAAGACGCCAGGUCCGGUGGACGUGACAAGCAGGACAUGACAUGGUCCGGUGUGACGGCGAGGACAGAGGAGGCGCGUCCGGCCUUCCUGAACACCUUAGGCUGGUGGGGCUGCGGCAAGAAGCGGGUCUGUUUCUUUACUUCCUCCACGGAGUCGGCACACUAUGGCUGCCCUCUGGGCUCCCAGAACCCACAACAUGAAAGGUGAGGGGCUUCCUGCCACACUUGGGGUGGGGGGCACGCGAGAGGAGCUGAGUGGGACCUCACUCCUUCCCCAUCCACAGAAAUGGUGCUACCCAGCUCAAGCCUGGGCCUUUGAAUCCGGACACAAAACCCUCUAGCUUGGAAAUGAAUAUGCUGCACUUUACAACCACUGCACUACCUGACUCAGGAAUCGGCUCUGGAAGGUGAGCACCAGCGCUCCUUCCGGAAGCCUCCAGGCCCCCGAGCACCCUGCCCCCAUCCCACCCACGUGUCGCUAUCUCUAGGUGAAGCUAGAGGAACCAGACCUCAUCAGCCCAACAUCAAAGACACCAUCGGAACAGCAGCGCCCGCAGCACCCACCCCGCACCGGCGACUCCAUCUUCAUGGCCACCCCCUGCGGCGGACGGUUGACCACCAGCCACCACAUCAUCCCAGAGCUGAGCUCCUCCAGCGGGAUGACGCCGUCCCCACCACCUCCCUCUUCUUCUUUUUCAUCCUUCUGUCUCUUUGUUUCUGAGCUUUCCUGUCUUUCCUUUUUUCUGAGAGAUUCAAAGCCUCCACGACUCUGUUUCCCCCGUCCCUUCUGAAUUUAAUUUGCACUAAGUCAUUUGCACUGGUUGGAGUUGUGGAGACGGCCUUGAGUCUCAGUACGAGUGUGCGUGAGUGUGAGCCACCUUGGCAAGUGCCUGUGCAGGGCCCGGCCGCCCUCCAUCUGGGCCGGGUGACUGGGCGCCGGCUGUGUGCCCGAGGCCUCACCCUGCCCUCGCCUAGUCUGGAAGCUCCGACCGACAUCACGGAGCAGCCUUCAAGCAUUCCAUUACGCCCCAUCUCGCUCUGUGCCCCUCCCCACCAGGGCUUCAGCAGGAGCCCUGGACUCAUCAUCAAUAAACACUGUUACAGCA